ACAUCCAGAGAAUUUAGCAGAGAUGCUUUAGUGCCUUCGGGAACUCUGAGACAGGUGCUGCAUGGCUGUCGUCAGCUCGUGUUGUGAAAUGUUGGGUUAAGUCCCGNAACGAGCGCAACCCUUAUCCUUUGUUGCCAGCACGUAAUGGUGGGAACUCAAAGGAGACUGCCGGUGAUAAACCGGAGGAAGGUGGGGAUGGCGUCAAGUCAUCAUGGCCCUUACGAGUAGGGCUACACACGUGCUACAAUGGCGCAUACAAAGAGAAGCGACCUCGCGAGAGCAAGCGGACCUCAUAAAGUGCGUCGUAGUCCGGAUUGGAGUCUGCAACUCGACUCCAUGAAGUCGGAAUCGCUAGUAAUCGUAAAUCAGAAUGUUACGGUGAAUACGUUCCCGGGCCUUGUACACACCGCCCGUCACACCAUGGGAGUGGGUUGCAAAAGAAGUAGAUAGCUUAACCUUCGGGAGGGCGUUUACCACUUUGUGAUUCAUGACUGGGGUGAAGUCGUAACAAGGUAAGCGUAGUGCU
rnacentral:rRNA from 1 species